CUAGCUAAGGGUAGAACCCAGAGGCCCAUCCAGUUUCUGUCUGGCUUCAGUUCUGUGCCUGCUUGCCUUCCUGCCUUCCUGCCUUCCUGCCUGCCUCCCUUCCUUCCUUCCUGCCUGCAUUCCUGCCUUCCUUUCUGCCUGCCUCCCUUCCCUCCUGCCUGUCUUCCUGCUUGCCUUCCUUCCUUCCUGCCUGCCUUUCUGCAUUCCUGCCUGCCUGCCUGCCUGCUUUCCUUCCUGCCUGCCUGCCUUCCUUCCUUCCUGCCUGCCUGCCUGCCUUCCUUCCUUCCUGCCUGCCUGCCUUUCUGCCUUCCUUCCUGCCCGCCUGCAUUCCUGCCUGCCUGCUUUCCUGCCUUCCUGCCUGCCUCCCUUCCUGCCUGCCUGCCUCCCUUCCUGCCUGCCUGCCUCCCUUCCUGCCUGCCUGCCUUCCUUCCUGCCUGCCUGCCUGCAUUCCUGCCUGCCUACAUUCCUGCCUGCCUGCCUUCCUGCCUGCCUGCCUGCCUGCCUGCCUGUAUUCCUGCCUGCCUGCCUACCUGUAUUCCUGCCUGCCUGCCUGCCUUCUGCCUGACUUCCUGCCUGCCUUUCUGCCUUCCUUCCUUCCUGCCUGCCUGCCUUCCUUCCUGCCUGCCUUCCUGCCUUCCUGCAUUCCCGCCUGCCUUCCCACAUGCCUGCCUUCCGCCUGCCUGCCUUCCUUCCUGCCUGCCUGCCUUCCUGUCUUCCUGCCUGCCUUCCUUCCUGCCUGCCUGCCUUCCUGUCUUCCUGCCUGCCUUCCUAUCUUCUUGCCUGCCUGCCUGCCUGCCUGCCUUCCUGCCUUCCUUCCUUCCUGCCUUCCUGCCUGCCAUCCUUCCUUCCUGCUCCUUUCCUUCAUGGCUUCUUGCCUUCCUUCCUGCCUUCCUGCUUUUUUCUGAGACAGGGUCUCAUUCUGUAACCCAGGCUGGAACCAUAGCUCCAUCUCCAUCAUGGCUCACAGCCUUGACUUCCUGGGCUCAAGCAAUCCUCCCACCUCAGCCUCCCAAGUGA
rnacentral:lncRNA from 1 species